UUUUGCUCCAUAAUUGCUUCUUCCUUGGCAUCUCUCCAUUCUGCUCCCACUCUAAUGCACUCCCUCCAUCCUUUACCAUAUGUUACAGUGAAGCCCUCUACUAUCCCUCAGACAACUCCCCCCUCCCACGUCUUUCCUCUCCCUUUCUCCCUUUCUCCCUCUGUCCUUUCUGUAGGGACAACUGAGGGGAGUCAUUCAACUGAGGGGAGCCUGCCCUGAAACUCCUCAGGUCUCUCCUCCUCCAUCUCCCUCUCAGUAUCCCUCUCUCCCUCGUCCUCCUCCAUCCCUCCCUCUCUCCCGUCCCAUUUCUCCUGUCCUACCCCACGUCCCUUCAUCCAUCACCCAGGCAGACAGUCCCUCUGUGUCCGCGUCUCCGCACUGAGAGAGGGCUCUUACACGGGCAGACGAGGAGAGUCCCUGGUGGAAUGGGAGCUAGAUGAGGGAGCUGAUUGUGUGCCUCGCCGUCCUCUCCGUCUGGACAGUCAGACAGCUGGCCCGGCCAUCUUCAUGUGCCUUUGACGACAGUCUCACCACUUCGCUGUAUGUAUGUACAACCGUCCAAGGAGCACAAGCACCAGCCCCAGUACCAGCACCAGCACCAACACCAGCCCCAACACCAGCCCCAGUACCAGCCCCAGCACCAGCACCAGCCCCAACAUCAGCCCCAACACCAGCCCCAGUACCAGCCCCAGGACCAGCCCCAGUACCAGCACCAGCCCCAGCACCAGCCCCAGCACCAGCCCCAACACCAGCACCAGCCCCAGCACCAGUACCAGCCCCAGUACCAGCCCCAGUACCAGCCCCAGCACCAGCCCCAGUACCAGCCCCAGUACCAGCCCCAGCCCCAGUACCAGCCCCAGUACCAGCCCCAGCCCCAGUACCAGCCCCAGCCCCAGUACCAGAAAUGUAUCUCUGGAUACAGUUGGCACUUGUUCCUGCAC
ensembl:lncRNA